GAUGAACGCUGGCGGCGUGCCUAAUACAUGCAAGUCGAGCGAACAGACGAGGAGCUUGCUCCUUUGACGUUAGCGGCGGACGGGUGAGUAACACGUAGGUAACCUACCUAUAAGACUGGGAUAACUUCGGGAAACCGGAGCUAAUACCGGAUAAUAUUUCGAACCGCAUGGUUCGAUAGUGAAAGAUGGCUUUGCUAUCACUUAUAGAUGGACCUGCGCCGUAUUAGCUAGUUGGUAAGGUAACGGCUUACCAAGGCAACGAUACGUAGCCGACCUGAGAGAGUGAUCGGCCACACUGGAACUGAGACACGGUCCAGACUCCUACGGGAGGCAGCAGUAGGGAAUCUUACGCAAUGGGCGAAAGCCUGACGGAGCAACGCCGCGUGAGUGAUGAAGGUCUUCGGAUCGUAAAACUCUGUUAUUAGGGAAGAACAAACGUGUAAGUAACUGUGCACGGCUUGACGGUACCUAAUCAGAAAGCCACGGCUAACUACGUG
rnacentral:rRNA from 1 species